ensembl:snRNA U6 U6 spliceosomal RNA
GUGCUCACUUCAGCAGCACAUGCACUAAAAUAGGAAAAAUGCAGAUAAGAUUAGCGUGGCCCCUGCUCAAGAUGACAUGCAAAUUUGUGAAGUGUUCCAUUUUUUU